rnacentral:misc_RNA from 1 species
CUGCUCCUCCUUCACGCAGAAAGAGAGAGAGAGAGAGAGAGAGAGAGAGAGAGAGAGAGAGAGAGAGAGAGAGUGGUGCCUCCUGCCUUCUCUCGCCACUAGUAUCCCGUUGACUGCCUUACGGGAAAGACCAAAAGCGUUUUACCUGUUCUCGUUCUUACCUUCGUCUCUCCGUGUCUCUUGUGUCGCGUGAGUGGUGCCAGUGACUUAACCCGGUGGUGCCAAGGUGCCAAAGGGUCAGUAAGCCCUCCUCCACCCAACGCCCUCCCCUGUGGCUCUCCUUCUCUCGCUCCUCUGCCGUCACUUUGUGCUUCGUGAGUCACGGUGCGUGUCGGCGGAGCAGCAACACGGUGUUAUCGACGCCACACCGAGCAGGGCGCCAAUCCUGAGGGACCGAGGAGGCGCCACACAAGGCACACAAGCCUACCAGUUUGCCGCAGCCACGAGUCUUGCUGCACUUAAUCCCUUCAGUACCAUGCCGCGUUUUCAUAUUCUGGUUACUAAUUUGGUGAUUUUGUACAGCUUCAGAAACAUAUGUGGGGGAUUAGAAUAGUAAAGACU